rnacentral:rRNA from 1 species
UACGUAGGGUGCAAGCGUUAAUCGGAAUUACUGGGCGUAAAGCGUGCGCAGGCGGUUGUGUAAGUCAGAUGUGAAAUCCCCGGGCUCAACCUGGGAAUUGCAUUUGAGACUGCACGGCUAGAGUGUGUCAGAGGGGGGUAGAAUUCCACGUGUAGCAGUGAAAUGCGUAGAAAUGUGGAGGAAUACCGAUGGCGAAGGCAGCCCCCUGGGAUAACACUGACGCUCAUGCACGAAAGCGUGGGGAGCAAACAGG